rnacentral:rRNA from 1 species
CCUACGGGGGGCUGCAGUGAGGAAUAUUGGUCAAUGGGCGUAAGCCUGAACCAGCCAAGUCGCGUGAGGGAUGAAGGUUCUAUGGAUGGUAAACCUCUUUUAUAAGGGAAUAAAGUGUGGGACGUGUCUUAUUUUGUAUGUACCUUAUGAAUAAGACUCGGCUAACUCCGUGCAAGCAGCCGCGGUAAUACGGAGGAUCCGAGCGUUAUCCGGAUUUAUUGGGUUUAAAGGGUGCGUAGGCGGCGUUUUAAGUCAGCGGGGAAAGUCUGGGGCUAAACCAUAGAAUUGCCGUUGAAACUGGGGGGCUUGAGUAUGUUUGAGGCAGGCGGAAUGCGUGGUGUAGCGGUGAAAUGCUUAGAUAUCACGCAGAACCCCGAUUGCGAAGGCAGCCUGCCAAGCCAUGACUGACGCUGAUGCACGAAAGCGUGGGGAUCAAACAGGAUUAGAUACCCUGGUAGUC